AUGUCUCCAUUUAGCUGGAUUUUCCUUGUUGCUAUUUUAAAAGGUGUCCAGUGUGAGGUGCAACUGGUGGAGUCUGGGGGAGACCUGAGACAGCCUGGAGGGUCUCUGAAGCUCUCCUGUGCAGCCUCUGGGUUCACCUUCAGUAACUAUCCUAUGCACUGGGUUCGCCAAGCCCCAGGGAAAGGUCUACAGUGGAUCGCAAAAAUUAGUAGUAGUGGUGGUAGUACAUACUACCCAGAGUCUGUGAAGGGCCGAUUCACCAUCUCCAGAGACAACGCCAAGAACAUAGUGUAGAUUGCAGAUGAACAGUCUGAGAACCGAGGACACAGCCAUGUAUUACUGUGCAAGAGACACAGUGAGAGGAAGUCAGUGUGAACCUAGACAGAAACCUCUCUGUGAGUGUCAACAGGACAGGAUCCUCCUGAUCCAAGAGCAGGUGCAGAUGUAG